rnacentral:rRNA from 1 species
AGAGUUUGAUCCUGGCUCAAGACGACCUCUGGCGGCGUGCCUAACACAUGCAAGUCGAACGGAGUUGAAAGGAGCUUGCUUUUUUCAACUCAGUGGCGGACGGGUGAGUAACGCGUGAGUAACCUGCCUUUCAGAGGGGGAUAACGUUCUGAAAAGAACGCUAAUACCGCAUAAGAUUGUAGUUUCGCAUGGAGCAGCAAUCAAAGGAGCAAUCCGCUGAAAGAUGGACUCGCGUCCGAUUAGAUAGUUGGCGGGGUAACGGCCCACCAAGUCGACGAUCGGUAGCCGGACUGAGAGGUUGAUCGGCCACAUUGGGACUGAGACACAACCCAGACUCCUACGGGAGGCAGCAGUGAGGGAUAUUGGGCAAUGGGGGAAACCCUGACCCAGCAACGCCGCGUGAGGGAUGACGGUUUUCGGAUUGUAAACCUCUGUCCUCUGUGAAGAUAGUGACGGUAGCAGAGGAGGAAGCUCCGGCUAACUACGUGCCAGCAGCCGCGGUAAUACGUAGGGAGCAAGCGUUGUCCGGAUUUACUGGGUGUAAAGGGUGCGUAGGCGGAUUGGCAAGUCAGAAGUGAAAUCCAUGGGCUUAACCCAUGAACUGCUUUUGAAACUGUUAGUCUUGAGUGAAGUAGAGGUAGGCGGAAUUCCCGGUGUAGCGGUGAAAUGCGUAGAGAUCGGGAGGAACACCAGUGGCGAAGGCGGCCUACUGGGCUUUAACUGACGCUGAGGCACGAAAGUGUGGGUAGCAAACAGGAUUAGAUACCCUGGUAGUCCACACUGUAAACGAUGAUU